GACGAACGCUAGCGGCGUGCUUAACACAUGCAAGUGGUGCGACGAACCAGGCUCCGGCCUGGGUCAGAGCCGCGAACGGGUGAGUAACACGUGGGCAACCUGCCCUGUUGAUCGGGACAACCCGGGGAAACCCGGGCUAAUACCGAAUGUGGUGCCGGCUCAUGAGAGCCGCCACGAAAGGAAGCUUCGGCCUCCGCGACAGGAGGCGCCCGCGGCCCAGUAGCUUGUUGGUGGGGUAAUGGCCUACCAAGGCAACGAUGGGUGGCCGGUCUGAGAGGACGAUCAGCCACACUGGGACUGAGACACGGCCCAGACUCCUACGGGAGGCUGCAGUGGGGAAUCUUGCGCAAUGAGCGACAGCUUGACGCAGCAACGCCGCGUGGGGGAAGAAGGCUUUCGGGUCGUAAACCCCUUUCAGUUAGGACGAAGCUUUAUUGGUUAAUAACCAAUUGGAGUGACGGUACUUUCAGAAGAAGCCCCGGCUAACUACGUGCCAGCAGCCGCAGUAA
rnacentral:rRNA from 1 species